UAGGGAAUCUUCCACAAUGGACGAAAGCCUGAUGGAGCAACGCCGCGUGUGUGAUGAAGGGUUUCGGCUCGUAAAACACUGUUGUAAGAGAAGAAUGACAUUGAGAGUAACUGUUCAAUGUGUGACGGUAUCUUACCAGAAAGGAGCGGCUAAAUACGUGCCAG
rnacentral:rRNA from 1 species